CUUAAAGCAGGAACAAGACGCGAGGCUAGAUAAAUAACCCUUUCUGCAGUCUUGGACAGCUGUGUAGGCUGCGAAGUGACAGCAGCAGCCGCUUCAAACUGCAAUUUAUUCCUUCUUAAUUAGUACAUCCACCACAGACUCAUCCACCUCACCCCGGCUGACUACGAUGAUUUUGUAAACGCCAUCCACAGUGCCAGAAGUGCAUUCUGUCUCACGCCUUUAGGAGCAAUGCAGUUCAACGACAUCCUACAGAAUCUGAAACGUAACAAGCAGACCAAGGAGCUGUGGCAAAGGUUUUCUUUAGAAAUGGCAACUUUUUCUCCUUGAUGAUACAGGCACAAGUUGAUUAGUAACCAUGGAGACUCUUGGGGGGAUACAGGCUCCUCAAAGGGAAUAGGACAACACAAAUCAUCCAGUUUGGGACUGGACUAAAUGUCUUAAGCAGAAAUUUAUUGCAGGAGGCCAGCAAUGUUACGUUAGAGGGUUAGAUCCAGUCAUAGCAAUCAGCUGUGGGGUUCACAUCUCCAACCCCACAACCACGUUGUAGAACUUUGAUCUGACCACAACCGUAAAAUAUUUGUACAACA